UACGUAUGGUGCAAGCGUUAUCCGGAUUUACUGGGUGUAAAGGGAGCGCAGGCGGCGCGGCAAGUCCGAUGUGAAAACCCCCGGCUCAACCGGGGGACUGCAUUGGAAACUACCGGGCUGGAGUGCCGGAGAGGUAGGCGGAAUUCCUGGUGUAGCGGUGAAAUGCGUAGAUAUCAGGAGGAACACCAGUGGCGAAGGCGGCCUACUGGACGGUGACUGACGCUGAGGCUUGAAAGCGUGGGGAGCAAACAGG
rnacentral:rRNA from 1 species